rnacentral:sRNA from 1 species
CACAAAUAGAAUUCCUUAUAAAAAUAGGUUUUGUCUAAAUGUGGAAAGUGUGUAAAUAUAGUAGCAGGUUUCAAUUUACUACACAAGCUCAUAAGCUCCAAGUUACAGCCACUUAUUAUAG